GUGAAACCUCGUCUCUACUAGUUAGCAUUUCAAAGUCUCAUUUACUAUCGGAAUUAACCAGACAAAUUGCUCCACCAACUAAGAACGGCCAUGCACCACCACCCAUAUAACAAGAAAGAGCUAUCGAUCUGUCAAUCCUUCCUAUGCCUGGACCU